UCGCCCCCUUCGGGCAUCGUCUUAUCAUUGUAUAUUGCAAAUAUUAGCAUGAUACCUGUACACUGAAGCUUUUUUCUUUGACCCACUUUUUAUUUUUGAAUGAAAAUAUCCUUAAAUUUUGUCUUCUUUUGGAUGGAUUGAACUCUGAUGUGUUCCGAGAACUUGUGUGCCGAGCAUUCUUUUUAUUGUUAUAAGUGAAAAGUUUGUAGCAUCUCAUGGCCGGGAAAUUAGGUGUCAAAGAAAUCAAUGUUUUCGUUUGUCUUGAGAUUAUUUGAACAUGCUCAUCAGGC
rnacentral:lncRNA from 1 species